CUUGUCUCAAUUUGUUGUUGCUUUCCAUGACCAGGGAAAAUGCAGGAGACAUUUUGGCCACGUAAGAAGCCUUAAGCUCUUCAGAGGAAGAUGCUAAGGGAAGUGGUGAAGUGACAACUCCUGUCUCCUCUCCUUAAUCCUGUCAGCCUUGGGAUUUCAACAUGAGCUGCUGGGAUGGGAGCAUCAUCUUGAUUUGGAGCUCCAGUCCAGCUGUGCAGUAAAACAUUUGUGAAUAUCCAGGAAUGAGGGUCCUUCCAGAUGGCAUUGAUGUGCACCAGGCUCACAUGAAAACUCUCACAUCACCUGCAGUAAGGAGAAAAAAAAGCAUUUCCAAGACACAAGGACCUGUUCUGGAGCAACUGAUCAUGAUCAGCAGAUGCUUGUCCUACCAUGGCUGG
rnacentral:lncRNA from 1 species